UACGUAGGGUGCGAGCGUUGUCCGGAAUUACUGGGCGUAAAGAGCUCGUAGGUGGUUUGUCGCGUUGUCCGUGAAAACUCACAACUCAAUUUGUGGGCGUGCGGGCGAUACGGGGCAGACUGGAGUACUGCAGGGGAGACUGGAAUUCCUGGUGUAGGCGGUGGAAUGCGCAGAUAUCAGGAGGAACACCGGUGGCGAAGGCGGGUCUCUGGGCAGUAACUGACGCUGAGGAGCGAAAGCGUGGGGAGCGAACAGG
rnacentral:rRNA from 1 species